rnacentral:rRNA from 1 species
GUGGGGAAUAUUGGACAAUGGGCGAAAGCCUGAUCCAGCCAUGCCGCGUGUGUGAAGAAGGUCUUCGGAUUGUAAAGCACUUUAAGUUGGGAGGAAGGGCAGUAAGUUAAUACCUUGCUGUUUUGACGUUACCGACAGAAUAAGCACCGGCUAACUUCGUGCCAGCAGCCGCGGUAAUACGAAGGGUGCAAGCGUUAAUCGGAAUUACUGGGCGUAAAGCGCGCGUAGGUGGUUUUGUAAGUUGGAGGUGAAAUCCCCGGGCUCAACCUGGGAACUGCUUUCAAAACUGCUGAGCUAGAGUACGGUAGAGGGUGGUGGAAUUUCCUGUGUAGCGGUGAAAUGCGUAGAUAUAGGAAGGAACACCAGUGGCGAAGGCGACCACCUGGACUGAUACUGACACUGAGGUGCGAAAGCGUGGGGAGCAAACAGGAUUAGAUACCCUUGUAGUCC